CCUACGGGUGGCAGCAGUGAGGAAUAUUGGUCAAUGGGCUUACGCCUGAACCAGCCAAGUCGCGUGAGGGACGACUGCCCUAUGGGUUGUAAACCUCUUUUGUCAGGGAGCAACACCAGCUACGUGUAGCCGGACUGAGAGUACCUGAAGAAAAAGCAUUGGCUAACUCCGUGCAAGCAGCCGCGGUAAUACGGAGGAUGCGAGCGUUAUCCGGAUUUAUUGGGUUUAAAGGGUGCGUAGGCGGAAUGCCAAGUCAGCGGUAAAAUCGCGGGGCUCAACCUCGCUCAGCCGUUGAAACUGGCGGUCUUGAGUGGGCGAGAGGUAUGCGGAAUGCGUGGUGUAGCGGUGAAAUGCAUAGAUAUCGCGCAGAACUCCGAUUGCGAAGGCAGCAGACCGGCGCCCAACUGACGCUGAAGCACGAAAGCGUGGGUAUCGAACAGGAUUAGAUACCCCUGUAGUC
rnacentral:rRNA from 1 species